UGUAUCUUGGAUUUCGGCGUGAGAUUACUACUGAUGUUGCAUUAGCGCGUUUGGUUUAAUACAGUAAUGUAAUACUAGAUUACAGUGUUUAUAGCAUUAAUAUGUUUGGUUCAGUUUAUAAAAUUUAGUAAUCUUGACAUAAAAGUAUAGUUUUCUCCAAAAUUGCCCUUGUUGUGGUCAUUUGAAUAUUAUUUUUUGCGGAAAUAACAAAUGGAGGGAAGGAGAUCGUGAUGAUUACUUGGGAGGACGAUGCAAUAGAAGAUGAUAGGUGUUCGUGUGAGAGAGUGAGAGAGAGAGAGAGUGAGAGAGAGACGUCGAGAGAGAGAGCGAGAGAAAGCGGCGUGCGAGAGAGAGGGGGGAAGGCGAGAGAGAGAGAUGAAAAUAAUGCUGUUAAUUAGAUUUGGGGUUGUUGGAGGGUAAAAUUGUCAUUUUACAUAAUAUGUAGUAUUAACGGAUUUUAGUAAUGCAAGAUACACGACCCCUCUCCCAUUAAUAUUUUCGAUGAAAUCCUGCUCGAUUUGUAAUGCUACAUUAACGACUAGAUUACAUAGCGGAUUAACCAAACACAGUUAUCCUGGCAGGAUUG
rnacentral:lncRNA from 1 species